UACAGAGGUCUCAAGCGUUGUUCGGAUUCAUUGGGCGUAAAGGGUGCGUAGGCGGCGCGGUAAGUCGGGUGUGAAAUUUCGAGGCUUAACUUCGAAACUGCAUUCGAUACUGCCGUGCUUGAGGACUGGAGAGGAGACUGGAAUUAUGGUGAGCGGUGAAAUGCGUAGAUAUCGUAAGGAAGACCAGUGGCGAAGGCGGGUCUCUGGGACAGUUCCUGACGCUGAGGAGCGAAAGCAUGGGGAGCGAACAGG
rnacentral:rRNA from 1 species